GCCGAUCAAAUGUGGAUUGUUCAUGGUCUUGGCAUCGAUGCUUCCAGCUUUUACAAACCAACCAGGGAGCCUUUCAGUUUCUGGCUUCAAACAUACUGAUAUCAUAGUGAGAUAGCAGCCUAACCCAACAACUCCAGUUCCAGAUAUAGCCUCGGCAAGCCAUCUUUUGAUCAUCAUAUAGGAGGGGUCAACGACUUGCUUCUUCACAAAUGCACAAUAAAGCCAGUUCAUUUCUAAACCAGUAAUCUUGGUCUCCUUCAUCCUCC
rnacentral:lncRNA from 1 species